rnacentral:rRNA from 1 species
GACGAACGCUGGCGGCGUGCCUAAUACAUGCAAGUAGAACGCUGAAGGAGGAGCUUGCUCUUCUGGAUGAGUUGCGAACGGGUGAGUAACGCGUAGGUAACCUGCCUGGUAGCGGGGGAUAACUAUUGGAAACGAUAGCUAAUACCGCAUAACAGUAGAUGUUGCAUGACAUUUGCUUAAAAGGUGCACUUGCAUCACUACCAGAUGGACCUGCGUUGUAUUAGCUAGUUGGUGGGGUAACGGCUCACCAAGGCGACGAUACAUAGCCGACCUGAGAGGGUGAUCGGCCACACUGGGACUGAGACACGGCCCAGACUCCUACGGGAGGCAGCAGUAGGGAAUCUUCGGCAAAGGACGGAAGUCUGACCGAGCAACGCCGCGUGAGUGAAGAAGGUUUUCGGAUCGUAAAGCUCUGUUGUAAGAGAAGAACGAGUGUGAGAGUGGAAAGUUCACACUGUGACGGUAUCUUACCAGAAAGGGACGGCUAACUACGU